rnacentral:rRNA from 1 species
AUUGAACGCUGGCGGCAGGCCUAACACAUGCAAGUCGAGCGGAGCGGCGGACGGGUGAGUAAUGCCUAGGAAUCUGCCUGGUAGUGGGGGAUAACGUCCGGAAACGGGCGCUAAUACCGCAUACUAUCAGAUGAGCCUAGGUCGGAUUAGCUAGUUGGUGUGGUAAAGGCCUACCAAUGCGAAGAUCCGUAACUGGUCUGAGAGGAUGAUCAGGCACACUGGAAUGGAGACACGGUCAAGUCGUCUACGGGAGGCAGCAGUGGGGAAUAUUGGACAAUGGGCGAAAGCUGUAUCCAGCCAUGCCGCGUGUGUGAAGAAGGUCUUCGGAUUGUAAAGCACUUUAAGUUGGGAGGCGUUACCAACAGAAUAAGCACCGGCUAACUUCGUGCCAGCCGCCGCGGUAAUUC